GAUACCUCUGCUCACGAGUGGUCUGAUGCUUAUUCAUUAUCUGGUUCAGCAAAUCCAGAUACCUUAACUUAAAAUAUGUUUACAAUCCAGUUUCUCUGGAGACAAAACCCUCAUCAAUUUACUUCUUAAAACGCUUUACUGGCUGACAUCCGAACGCCUCUGCAUGAGAUUUCAACAAUGAGCUCAAUGAGCUCAUCCCCCACCCCUUCCAAACACAGCACUUGAAUGCCUUCAACUCUUUUGUAAAAUCACAUCUCCUUAGCAUGUGAGCAAAAUCUGAUCAUAUCAUCUUUAUCAUAGAGAUCCUGUCUUAUAGCUGUGCCAAAAUGCACUUGUUUGAGCAUGUAACUUCUCAACUUAAAACUUCUCGAGGUUUCUUCAUUGCCUGUAACAUAAAGUCCCAACUACUUAACACAAAAUGCGACAUUUUACCAUGUAGUUUCUCUCAGGAUGAUCUAUUAAAAAACCCCAAAUCUCAUCCUGUUCCUGCUGUAAGCCCUUUAUUGGCUUAAAUCCAAAGUUAUUAACAUGAUAUAAAAAUUUGAUCAUGUCAUCCCUUAAAGUCAAAUUCACACUUCCUAGGACAAUAUAUAAAAUUUGAUCUUAUAACUCCUUUUAAAAUCUUACAGUGUCUCUUAGUUGUAAAUGGAAGAAAAGUCAAAAUUCUUAGCAUAAAAUGUGAAUUUUAUUUUGUAAUUCACUGCAUACUAUUUAUCAAACGCAAAAAACUCACCAGGCCACUCUGUUAGAAAGUUUUAUUGGCUAAAUCAAAUUCCUUGGCAUAUGCAACAGUCUAAUCAUGUUGGAGCCUCAAAAUAAAUUCCAAAUUUCUUUUCAUAUUCGCAAUAUUGAUCAUUUAACUCCUCUGAUUAAAAUCUUUCAACUUUGGUGUCAACAUUAAUCACACCUCCUAGGCAAGCUCUGCAGGUUGAAAUUGGCACUCCCCCAAGAUAGAAAUUCAAAAUGUUUGCGCAUGAUUGUUAAAUUGGUGGCUGUUACUUUUACAAUUUCCAGUGUUUCCUUGUUGCUUGUAAUGUGAAUCCCAAAGCCGUUACCCGUAAAAUAUAUUUUAUCAUGUUUUUCUGCAUACUUAUCUCCCACAAACAAGAAUCUCAUCAUCACAUUUCUUAAAACCCUUUGGCAAAAAUCCAAACUCCUUAGCAUGAUAUAAAACUUUGAUCCUGUCAUCCCUCAAAACAAAGUCCAGAUUUCUUCCCAGGAAACUCAAAUUAUGAAACUCUUGCUUAAAAUCUCAACGUGUUUUCAUCACUACAAAAAGCCUCACCAUUUUAGCAAGGCACCCACUUUUAAUCAUGGCACUCCCAGCUUCAAACCUGUCAAAUUUCAUGUCCUCAACAUAAAAUCUAAAUGCCUGAGCAUGAAAUGAAAAUUGGACCAAUUAUUUCUUACAUUAAAAAUCUUUGGAUUGCUCUUCUCUACUUAAACUAUAAAGCUGAAGUUCUUUUCGCAUGAAACUAGAACUUUUCACCACCUACAGUUUCCAGCUUCCAUUUCCUGUUCCUCACGCUUCUCUCUGAAAAGACUGAGUUUCCCAUUCUCCAGCCUCCAAAUGCAUUUCGAUUUUAUUGUCCCCAAAUGUUUCUUUUCUUUUUUUUGUUUAACCACGUCCCUCUGCCCAUAAUUCAUUAAUUCAUACAGCAGCAUGUCCUGAUUCUUUUUCUGGGCCAGGCACGGUGCUCGAUCCCCAAUGGAAGGAAAUGGAGGCAGACCCAUCUUGCAGGUCAUCACCAGGAAGGAGAUGAGACUCAUGUCCUGGAGACGAAUACCCCACUGGAGGUGGCGUGAAGGGGAGAUGGCUGCUUUCUCCUGGGAAGGGAGCAGAUGCCUGGCCCAGGACCAAAUCAAAAGGUCUGAAAAAUGAUAUUCAUUGUCCUAAUGUGUAAAUUUCGACAAUUUGCAAAUUUGUAGAUUCUUUAGAAUAGAACUAACUCAAGCCCUUCAUUCUGCAGCUGAGGCUCACUGCCCCCAGUGGGCAGUGGGUCCAGGGGGUUUCUGAGGACAGGGCAUGACCCAGCCCUGCUGCCCCCAAGAUGGCACCUGGCUUGGAGGGGUGAGGGGCCCUGUUAGUCUGACUUUGAAGAAGACCAGCCUUCCAGACUCGCUUGGUGCCCUGACAGCAGCUUGUGUUUCUUCCUUCAAGAGUCUGCUUAGAGAUAAUAAAGAUCAACACUAUUCCUUAUAACAACACCUCAGUAUCCUGCGAG
rnacentral:lncRNA from 1 species